UACGGAGGGGGCGAGCGUUAUUCGGAAUUAUUGGGCGUAAAGGGCGCGUAGGCGGCUGUACAAGUCAAAGGUGAAAUCCCUCGGCUCAACUGAGGAACUGCCUUUGAAACUGUACGGCUUGAGGCCGGGAGGGGGUAGCGGAAUUCCCAGUGUAGCGGUGAAAUGCGUAGAUACUGGGAGGAACACCAGUGGCGAAGGCGGCUACCUGGACCGGUUCUGACGCUAAGGCGCGAAAGCGUGGGUAGCAAACAGG
rnacentral:rRNA from 1 species